GGACAUGGAGGGAAUUUAAAUUUUCAUCAACAACAUAUGAAGAAAAAUCAAGUUCUUUGGAAUGAUUGUGAUAAGACUGAAAUGGGUGCCAACUGAAUAGUGGAAAUCAGGUGGUGAUCAGCAUGCUGGGAAAGAGGAAAUCAGAGUGAAGUAGUUUGGGAGUUGUGGUGCGAACCUUGGCGCUCUUGACGAGUUUUCCCUGAAGUAUGGUCUCGGUGGCUG